CCAAGUAUGGUUUUCACGUUGGCGGAUGAAGUCCCAGAGGUUAAAUGACGAGUCUGGAGUUGGAAUCAGAGCUGAUGCUUGAGUCCAAGUCUUCCGUCGUGUUCUUCUAGGGUACUGCUAUCUCCCUACCCUAAGCUAACCACCUUCCCUUUAACAAAUACUCUGUUUACAUUGGUGGCAUCAUAUUCUAUGAAGUUAAUCUAAGGCAGAAUUAUGGCUAACUGAAACUUUUAACAAGUGCAUGAGAACUUGUACAUGUGUUAUUUAUGGCAGCUUAUAUGUAAUUUAAAAAUAUUGCAGCCACAGUUACUUCAUAAUCACAGGUGUGGUGUCCAAUGUAAUUAGGGUGGACCAAGGACCAGAGAGAGAGGUUUGGACUUCUGACACCCAGGGUAAUCUCUCACCACAACUCCUUGCAUGGGGCAACCCUUUUUCUGGCUCCUAAGGGCCAUGUUCAAGCACUACGAGUGGUUAUGUAUCUUGACAUAACCUCUCAAAAGUGCAACCACUUCUGAGAUGAAUGCAUCAUCAAGAAGAUCCUCUUCCCCAAGGGAGCUUCGGAAAUAUACAUGUCUUUUAGAGUAAGAGAGCAGAAGCAACGAGGACCAAUGCCCUCCUGAAGGUCCCAGUCCUUAGAAUCCGCAGCCCUUCUCUGAUCUUCAGAGAGCUCCUGUUAUUUCUUGAUAGAAUUUCCAGUGACUCUUGGCCUUUCAGACAUUAACAACCCCAAACACUGACAUACAGGAAGAAAGUGGUGUUUGGAGAUCCUACAUGGCUCCAGCUGUGACUGGAUCCUACAUGGCUCGAGGACACCAAGAUCUUUCACUGUGGCUCCAGCCUUCCUCCAGAGAACUAGAAUCUUCUAUCUGUGCACUGGACAUCUAUGACAUUCGGAUUCCACUUCCACCUCAGUAGAUCCCCAAUCAAACUUCCAAAUCUUAUUUCAGGAGAAACUUCUGAGACUAGAGACCUUUGCCUUGCUGCCCGCAUCCAGUGAGUUACUACAUUCUCUUAGUUUUUCAUUUUUACUGUCCCAUGCCAGAUCAUUGCAGUAGCUCUCCAUCCACAGAGUUACUUUCAGUGAGUCCUUCUCCCCCUGCCUUUUUUUUUUUUUGAAAUGGAGUCUUGCUCUGUCUCUCAGGCUGGAGUGCAGUGGCACACUCUCGGCUCACUGCAACCUCUGUCUCGUGGGUUCAAGUGAUUCUCCUAUCUCAGCCUCUCUAGUAGCUGGGAUAUACAGGCGUGCACCAUCACACCCAUCUAAUUUUUCUAUUUUUAGUAAAGACGGGGUUUCGUCAUGUUGGCCAGGCUGGUCUUGAACUCCUGACCUCAGGCAAUCCACCCG
rnacentral:lncRNA from 1 species